CUCUCGGCAACGGAUAUCUUGGCUUCCGCCACGAUGAAGAACGUAGCGAAAUGCGAUACUUGGUGUGAAUUGCAGAAUCCCGUGAAUCAUCGAGUUUUUGAACGCAAGUUGCGCCCGAGGCCAUCCGGCCGAGGGCACGUCUGCCUGGGCGUCACA
rnacentral:rRNA from 2 species